GCUUAAAUAAUUUAACAAAAAUAUUAGUCUUGUAAACUAAAAAUAAGAUAAAAUUCUUUUUAAGCU
rnacentral:tRNA from 1 species